CCUACGUGAGGCAGCAGUGAGGAAUAUUGGUCAAUGGGCGCGAGCCUGAACCAGCCAAGUAGCGUGAAGGAUGACUGCCCUACGGGUUGUAAACUUCUUUUAUAAAGGAAUAAAGUGAGGCACGUGUGCCUUUUUGUCUGUACUUUAUGAAUAAGGAUCGGCUAACUCCGUGCCAGCAGCCGCGGUAAUACGGAGGAUCCGAGCGUUAUCCGGAUUUAUUGGGUUUAAAGGGAGCGUAGAUGGGUUGUUAAGUCAGUUGUGAAAGUUUGCGGCGCAACCGUAAAAUUGCAAUUGAUACUGGCAGUCUUGAGUACAGUUGAGGUAGGCGGAAUUCGUGGUGUAGCGGUGAAAUGCUUAGAUAUCACGAAGAACUCCGAUUGCGAAGGCAGCUUACUAAACUGCCACUGACAUUGAUGCUCGAAAGUGUGGGUAUCAAACAGGAUUAGAUACCCUUGUAGUC
rnacentral:rRNA from 1 species